CACACAUUGUUUCGGGCACCAACUUGUUGCCUCCAUACAGUCUGGGUUUGUUGGACUCUGCUGAGCUUUGGGGAUAUGCAGGUUGAUCAGGAGGGCUGCAGUAUGUCUAUACACUGGAGUCAUGGUGAUAGAAUUUAAAUCCUUGGAGGUGCUUUAGAGGUUUACCCAGCCAGUUAUCACAAAUGAGGAAAAUGAAACUCAUACAAUUUGACUCACUGACCCAAGCCCAUGCCACUAAUGCAGCAGACACUGGAACCCAGACCCGUCUCCAGUUUCCCCACCAAGGUACUUUUCUCUGUUGCUUACAGCCUAGCAUUUUGGUUUAUUUCUGUGGCUGUAAUCUGUGGGCCAAACAAGUGAUGAAGAGGACGCCAGAGACUGAAUGACGGUGAGGGGCAGGGAUUUGGGGUUGGUGAGACCUGAGCUUGCACUGCGUCUCACUUGUGAGGUGGCUGCAGCCAAGGACACGUUCAAAGAAAGAGGAGGGGGGUGCAGUGGGUUGUGCCAGCGACACCGCACCUUUCUCUCAAGACAGGGGAAUUUAUACUGGAAGUAGUGUGUGAAAGUCUCCUGCUUCCAUUUCACGGGCCAGGUCAGGUGGUUUGUCCUUGGUUAGCUGGAAGAGAAAGGGACAUAUUUGGCCUCUCCAGUAGGAGGCAGUGAGGCCAGAUUGAGUCCAGAGUUUCAGGGAGCAGGAAGGUGGGACCGAGGCCUCCACAUGGCCUAUAGGUUGGAACAGACUGUGCAGAGAAGCAGGAGAGCAAUGAGAGGAGACUGGCUUGAGUCCUUCACCUGGUGUAACUCUCCCCUACCUGAGCGCUCUGCCUUCAUUCCCCAGGGCCACCUGGGAAAUAAUAGUAAGAGUGUCUCUAAGAGCAUGAAGAGAUUUGGGAAAGAGAGAACCAGGUCAUGGUUAUUGAAAGUGCUUGAGUGAAAUACAAAAGCUUUUCUAAAAUGCAAAGUGGUUUUGCACCAUCCCCCACAUAUCUCACCUUGGCGUCUCCUGCUCCUUAGGAACCAGGUAAGAGCGGUUCAGACUGCCCUUUCUUGGCUCACCAGACCCGUCACAUUAGAAGGGAUUGUGUUCUGUGGUUAUGCUGGCUCACAGCUGCAUUUCUGCUGCAUUGCUCCACUCAAGGACCACAUCCCAGCCUGGGGAGGCUCCUGGUGUCCCCACUUGACCCGGACAUCCAUCUCAGAGUCUUUCCUCUCUUUCCACCAACCUUGCCAAGCUCCAGGUAUAUUCACUUUACGAAGAGAGUCUGUAAAGCAAAUUGAAGACCAGAAACAAUCAGUCUCAGAGCCCAGCCUCUCCAUGAUGGUUUGGGGAAGAAUCCACCGGAAAAAAGAGGGGCUGCCAUGCCAGUGCUAUUUUGGUGAUACACAACUGAAAUUACGUCCUGAAGCUUGACCCAAGCUGCCUGAUACUUUGAGGCCCUGGGCUUAUAGCUGCCUAAGAAACAUGCAAUUCCAAAGGCCUGCCAGCCACACCAAAGAGAUUUUCCCAAGAAAGCGUGAACCAGGCGAGGCAGCUGCAGAGUGGGAGGAGAGCGAUGUUUUGAACCAGAAAACAAGAGUCAAAUGAGGCCAACAAUGCACAAAGCUCAGGCACUGUACAAAUGCUUGGUAAGCAUUCUGUUUCAUAAUAUUAAUGUCCUAAACUGGGCAAACAGAUUCUUGGAAUGAGCCAUAGCUGGAUGUCAGCCCUGGCUCCUUUUCAGCUCAAG
ensembl:lincRNA